rnacentral:rRNA from 1 species
UGCCUCCUACGGGGCGCAGCAGUGAGGAAUAUUGGUCAAUGGGCUUACGCCUGAACCAGCCAAGUCGCGUGAGGGAAGACUGCCCUAUGGGUUGUAAACCUCUUUUGUCAGGGAGCAACGCCGGCUACGUGUAGCCGGACUGAGAGUACCUGAAGAAAAAGCAUCGGCUAACUCCGUGCCAGCAGCCGCGGUAAUACGGAGGAUGCGAGCGUUAUCCGGAUUUACUGGGUGUAAAGGGAGCGUAGACGGCAGUGCAAGUCCGGAGUGAAAGCCCGGGGCUCAACCCUGGGACUGAUCUGGAAACU